rnacentral:ncRNA from 1 species
CACUCUGGAGAGUCUCAAAGGAAGAGCGCCGAAGGUGUACGACAGCAUCGCUGUUUAUCUCUCAGGCAAAAGGACAGAGAA